UACGGAGGGUGCAAGCGUUAUCCGGAAUCAUUGGGUUUAAAGGGUCCGUAGGCGGAUUUGUAAGUCAGUGGUGAAAGCCAACAGCUCAACUGUUGAACUGCCAUUGAUACUGCAAGUCUUGAGUACAUUUGAUGUGGGCGGAAUGUGUCAUGUAGCGGUGAAAUGCUUAGAUAUGACACAGAACACCGAUUGCGAAGGCAGCUCACAAAACUGUAACUGACGCUGAGGCACGACAGCGUGGGGAUCAAACAGG
rnacentral:rRNA from 1 species